rnacentral:rRNA from 1 species
GGAAUUUUUCGCAAUGGGGAAAACCCUGACGAAGCAACGCCGCGUGGAGGAUGAAGGCCCUCGGGUCGUAAACUCCUGUCCUCGGGGACGAAUUCAUGACGGUACCCGGGGAGGAAGCCCCGGCUAACUCCGUGCCAGCAGCCGCGGUAAUACGGGGGGGGCGAGCGUUGUUCGGAAUUACUGGGCGUAAAGGGCGCGUAGGCGGCCUGAGAAGUUCUGGGUGAAAGUCCUCGGCUCAACCGGGGAAUUGCCUGGAAAACCAUCGGGCUGGAGUGCUGGAGAGGCCGGCGGAAUUCCUGGUGUAGCGGUGAAAUGCGUAGAUAUCAGGAGGAACACCCGAGGCGAAGGCGGCCGGCUGGACAGACACUGACGCUGAGGCGCGAAAGCCAGGGGAGCAAAC